rnacentral:lncRNA from 1 species
UUAGGAACUUUUCUUUGUGUCCAUUUUUUACCUAACUUGCAAGGACUCGAUUAAGAGGAUCCCAACUCCAAUGCUCAACUUGACUAAGAGAGUGAGUGUGGUAGUAGAUACGAGUGUAGUAGGAUAACAUGAAUUUUGGCAUCGAGACAUUAGUGCAGUUCCACAUGCGUAUGUUCCACCAGACCCCGGUACCAUCCUAACACCUUCCACUACUUUUUAGCUUCCUUGUUGUACCCAGAAUUGCUAC